GCUUGUGUAGCACAGCUGGUAGUGCAGUUCAUUCGUAAUGAACAGGUCGCAGGUUCAAAUCCUGUCACAAGCU
rnacentral:tRNA from 1 species